rnacentral:rRNA from 1 species
AACGAACGCUGGCGGCAUGCCUAACACAUGCAAGUCGAACGAGACCUUCGGGUCUAGUGGCGCACGGGGGCGUAACGCGUGGGAACCUGCCCUUAGGUUCGGAAUAACUCCCCGAAAGGGGUGCUAAUACCGGAUAAUGUCUUCGGACCAAAGAUUUAUCGCCUUUGGAUGGGCCCGCGUUGGUUUAGCCAGUUGGUAGGGUAAAAGCCUACCAAGGCGACGAUCCAUAGCUGGUCUGAGAGGAUGAUCAGCCACACUGGGACUGAGACACGGCCCAGACUCCUACGGGAGGCAGCAGUGGGGAAUAUUGGACGAUGGGCGAAAGCCUGAUCCAGCAAUGCCGCGUGAGUGAUGAAGGCCUUAGGGUUGUAAAGCUCUUUUACCCGGGAUGAUAAUGACAGUACCGGGAGAAUAAGCUCCGGCUAACUCCGUG